rnacentral:lncRNA from 10 species
UGUGCUUGCAUCUGGGAGCUCGGAAUCUGUUGGUGGGAGAAUUCCUGGAUGUUUCCUACAAGCAGAUGGCAAUGUUCUCUUAGUCUCAUCGGAACCAGACAGAGAAGGGGACGGUGGAAAAAGGACUGAUAGAGACAAAGCACAUCUAGCCAACCAGUCACCCUCUACUUCUAAAGACUUUUGAAAACAAGAGUAUUGUCAAGAAUUAUUUAACAUUAUUAUGAUACUAUCAUUAUAAUCAAGGAGUGGGCUGUUGAGAGAUUUCAUCUUCAUUCAUUUUUUCAACAAAUGUUUGGUCAGUGCCUAGGAUGUCAAGUACUGGGCUAGUUGCUUAUUUUAUAAAGAUG